AUUGAACGCUGGCGGCAUGCCUAACACAUGCAAGUCGAACGGCAGCACGGCAGUAGCAAUACUGUGGGUGGCGAGUGGCGGACGGGUGAGGAAUACGUCGGAAUCUGCCCAGUCGUGGGGGAUAACUAGCCGAAAGGUUAGCUAAUACCGCAUACGACCGAGAGGUGAAAGCGGGGGACCGCAAGGCCUCGCGCGAUUGGAUGAGCCGACGUCGGAUUAGCUAGUUGGUGGGGUAAAGGCCCACCAAGGCGACGAUCCGUAGCUGGUCUGAGAGGAUGAUCAGCCACACUGGAACUGAGACACGGUCCAGACUCCUACGGGAGGCAGCAGUGGGGAAUAUUGGACAAUGGGCGCAAGCCUGAUCCAGCAAUGCCGCGUGUGUGAAGAAGGCCUCGGUUGUAAGCGACUUUAUCAGGACGAAAGACGUUGGAGUUAAU
rnacentral:rRNA from 1 species